rnacentral:rRNA from 1 species
CCUACGGGAGGCAGCAGUGAGGAAUAUUGGUCAAUGGCCGGAAGGCUGAACCAGCCAUGCCGCGUGAAGGUCAGUGCCCUAUGGGCUUUAAACUUCUUUUGUGCGGGAGCAAUAAUGGUCACGUGUGGCCAGACGAGAGUACCGUACGAAUAAGCAUCGGCUAACACCGUGCCAGCAGCCCCGGUAAUACGGGGGAUGCAAGCGUUAUCCGGAGUUUUUGGGGUUAAAGGGUGCGUAGGCUGUGAGUGAAGUUAGCGGGGAAAUGCCCCCGGUCAACGGGGUGAAGUGCCAUUGAUACUGGCUGGCUGGAAUGCGGAUGCCGUGGGAGGAAUGUGUGGUGUAGCGGUGAAAUGCACAGAUAUCACACAGAACACCGAUUGCGAAGGCAUCUCACGAAUCCGCGAUUGACGCUGAUGCACGAAAGCGUGGGUAUCAAACAGGAUUAGAUACCCCAGUAGUC